CGGUAAGGCCCUUUCGGGGGUACACGAGUGGCGAACGGGUGAGUAACACGUGGGUAAUCUGCCCUGCACUUCGGGAUAAGCCUGGGAAACCGGGUCUAAUACCGGAUAUGAGCUCCUGCCGCAUGGUGGGGGUUGGAAAGUUUUUCGGUGCAGGAUGAGUCCGCGGCCUAUCAGCUUGUUGGUGGGGUAAUGGCCUACCAAGGCGACGACGGGUAGCCGGCCUGAGAGGGUGAUCGGCCACACUGGGACUGAGACACGGCCCAGACUCCUACGGGAGGCAGCAGUGGGGAAUAUUGCACAAUGGGCGAAAGCCUGAUGCAGCGACGCCGCGUGGGGGAUGACGGUCUUCGGAUUGUAAACUCCUUUCAGUAGGGACGAAGCGAAAGUGACGGUACCUGCAGAAGAAGCACCGGCCAACUACGUGCCAGCAGCCGCGGUAAUACGUAGGGUGCAAGCGUUGUCCGGAAUUACUGGGCGUAAAGAGCUCGUAGGCGGUUUGUCACGUCGUCUGUGAAAUCCUCCAGCUCAACUGGGGGCGUGCAGGCGAUACGGGCAGACUUGAGUACUACAGGGGAGACUGGAAUUCCUGGUGUAGCGGUGAAAUGCGCAGAUAUCAGGAGGAACACCGGUGGCGAAGGCGGGUCUCUGGGUAGUAACUGACGCUGAGGAGCGAAAGCAUGGGGAGCAAACAGGAUUAGAUACCCUGGUAGUCCAUGCCGUAAACGGUGGGCGCUAGGUGUGGGGUCCUUCCACGGAUUCCGUGCCGUAGCUAACGCAUUAAGCGCCCCGCCUGGGGGAGUACGGGCCGCAAGGCUAAAACUCAAAGGAAUUGACGGGGGGCCCGCACAAGCGGGCGGAGCAUGGUGGAUUAAUUUCGAUGCAACGCCGAAGAACCUUUACCUAAGGCUUUGACAUAUUAC
rnacentral:rRNA from 1 species